GCGGGGGUGGCGGUGGCAUCACAAAGGUCUUUGGCAGGACCUCGGGUGGAGGCGGUGACCCCACAGAGAGACUCUGACCUCAGCCAGGCAGGACAGAGGCCCGGGGCCAGGACAAGGACAGCGACACCGGCACCUCCACCCGGCGUUGCUUCAGCACGGCUCCUUCUUGAGGCCUCUCCUUGAGGACCCAGAGAGCGCUCUAGCGCAUGUCGGAGCUGCCUGAUGACCGUCCACCCAUCGCUGUCCUGGCCAACUCCUCCACAGCUGCGGGCAGCCUCAAGUUCUGAGUCGCUCCCAUCCGGUGUUGCCCAGGCUGGGAGUCACUGCCCCUCCCCCUCUCAGGUACCCUCCCAAGGGUGGCUUCUCUGGCGGAAGGGGCAGUUUCCCUGUCUCCUGGCUGGGCUCUUCUUUUUGUUCCAGCAAUGUUCUGGGGGCUUUGGGGAGAGGCUCCCUCCAGAGGUCAGAUACAGGAGAGCUGCAGAGUCCAGGGGAAGAGGCUCUAUUCCUGCCCUGCCACUGUCUGGGAGGCCUUGCAUUCCCUGACUCAGUGCCUCAGUUCCCAUUUGUGCUAUCCUGUUUCUGCUCCCAUGCUUUCAUGUCCAGGCUGGUGCCAGUCUCACCCCUGCAGAGCACAGUCUAAUAUUAGCUCCUCUCCCUUGCCAGCAUCAUGAAACCCGCCCUAGAGCCAGACCUGGAUGUACACUUCCCUCCAGGGGCAUCACAUUACCCUCCUGGGGGUUUCUUUCCUUCCUUCCCUGCACAGGCAGUGUCCAUAGCAGCUUAGCUCUUCCCUAUUGUGCUGCUUAUGAGGCCCUCUGUAGAGACCUGCUAAGGUCAUGAGUUGAAGAGCCAGCUGUCAUCCUGCCCAGAACCCUUGUGUGACAGGGCGUUUGCCCUGCACUGGCCCUUUAAGGGCAAACCCCAGCCUGAAGCAGGGCUGGGGAGUUUAGCCCCAGCUGGGACUGCAUUAAUGGCCCAGAUGAGAGCUAUAUAAGAGCAUGGGCAGCUGCUCCCAGGGAGAGCAGUGAGAGCUUGGCUGCUGGGGGAGUAGGAGGCUCCCUGGAGCUAGGGCAGGGCGGGGGCACUCGGGCCAGACAAACCACCAGACUGCAGGGCCUGAAUAAAGGCCUGCUGGAGGAACAACUACCCCCGGAAGGGGGGCUCAGAGACGGACUAGGGCACUGCCGGAGGGCAGUGUGGCAAAGAGGAUGACACGAUUUGGAAGAAAGAGGGGAAACCCCACCUGAGCUGAGGUACCCUGCCAGCAGAAGGAGCUGAUUCCGGAGACAGACGGCAGACCCCCGCUACAGUGGCCCUGAACAAGGUCUUGCCAGAGAUCCUGGACACCAUGCUAGGGAACCUGCUGGCAAGACUUCAUGACAUCUUGGAGGUGAACCCCAUGAGGAGGGGCAGGGGACAAUUUUACCCUAGCUCUUAGCAAGACUGGUCAGGAGAGACUGAAAGAUCCAUCUCCCAAUCUGUCUUCCUAUCUGUGCCUGCAUGGGCUGACCUUGGUCAGGGCACUUGGUGCAAUGCAGUGUCAGGCUCUGCCUCCUCAAAGAACAGAGGAAGAAGCUGGGGCUUCCCACCAAAGCUCUGCCUGGGUCUGCUGAGCACUAACCACCAUGACUGGCUUGAGGAGUCAGAGUCUGAAGCCCCCAGGACAUCUAGGAGCUGAGCCUCAGAGAUAAAGCCCAGGAUCCUCCCAAGAGAAACAAAGGACUCCAGGGAAUCAGCCCUUCUCUCAGGCAGGCCCCAAGAUUCCUGGGGGGAUUGUGCUCGCAGUGGCUUCCUUCUUCCAACCAAGGACUUGAGAGCUGGGGAGGGGCGGAAGGUCUGUCUCCUUCCUGGGGAGCUGUUCAGAAAUCAGGAGUUCGGGGAGGAUGGGACCUGCCCUGACACUGAAUGUCCCAACCUAGAAGGGACCCUGACAAGUUGUGACCCAUGAGACACUUAUCUUCCUGGGGUAACAAUCCACUUCUAAAGCUCUGUGAUCAGUGACUCAGCUAUUCCGCCCUGUACACAAUGUCCUAGCCCCCUGGAGAGGGGAAGGACUUGUUUUUACAGCAUAUGCAUCAGCCCAUUGAUCUUGACCUGCCUCCUUCCCCCACAGCACUUCCACUUCUGGAUGGGGUUCCAGGUGUCCCUCUGAGACAGGGUCAUUAGGAGCAGCACAGCCCUGCUCAGAUUCACCAUCACUCUCCCUGAGUUUGAUGUAAGUGACCUCUGUGCCCAGCUCCCUGACUCCAAUGUAGGUGAGUUGUAGGACCUGCUGCCAUAGGGGUGGUGGGUUAGGAGUGUUCCCUUGGAGAGGCAGAGUCAGAGCAGGGAAUGAAUGAGGCUUGAGUAAAGUUCACUGUUUCUUGGUGAAGUGCUGACCCUGGGCCUUUAAGGGGACUAUUCACCAGCCCCGGCUCCAACCAGGUGCCUGGUCCCUGGCAUCCUGAAGCAUCUCUAGGCUCCUUUGGUGACCAAGAAAAUGGUCUGGCUCUAGCUUCUCUCCUCCAGCAUGUCCUACUGAGGGGUUGAGGGGAAGGAGACUCCAGGUCUGAGGGGACUGGGAGCUGAGAGGAUAAUGCUGAUAGGGUCCCCUCUUCUCUCUAGGGAUAUAAGUGACUAGCUGAGUAGCUGACUACUUUAUAAGCUUCUCACCCCCCCUUGCUGCCUCUAUCAGAUUGCUACCAGUCAGUUGUAAAUCAGUUUGGAGUGGGGAAGUCUACUGGUGGGACUGUACUAUGGCAAGUGUGCAAGGCAAUAAAUCACAUUCUGUUACGGAUUACUAUGACUUUGGGAAAUUUGCAUGAAACGGUGAAUACCUUUGCAUAGAUGGGCUUCCUUAACUGUUGUGGGGCCAAUGAUAGCGCACACACUCCAAUUUUAGUGCCAGACUACAUUGCAACAGAGUACAUCAACAGGAAGGGAUACUUCUCCGUGGUGUUUGCAGGCGUUUGAAUCACCAUGGAUGUUUCCAUGAAAGUUAAUGAUACUAUAGAGACUACCAAAAAUAUAUAAAGUGCCACAGGACUACUCAUUUUUAAAGUUACAGACUAAUACAGCUACUCCUCUGAGACUUCCUUAAAAGACACUAACACAAGAUGAGAGCAAUUGUAACAGCUUUUCUGCAAAUGGCUAUCUUAUUUAUAGGCAAGAUUUUUACAGCUGGUGUCAGCACAACGAUAUAAUACUCAUAGGCCUCCGCAGAAGAUAACUUCUCUUACAUCUUCUAGCCUAGCCAGUGAAGAUACAACUCACAAACCUCAAUGACAAGCAGAUUGUGUCUUACUAAAUAGUGGUGCUAUUCUGUCCUCACAAGAUCACAAAUAAUUAACCAAAAGAAUGGCUACUGAUGUCAUCAGUACAAGAACACUGCUCCCAAAUGUAAAUAUUUGGAAGCUUAUUUUCAGCUGGCGAGCAAACAGAUUUGCUGUCAAUCUGAUUCAGGGAGCCCCAUGUUUCCAUACCAAAAAUCAACCACAUAUUUUAAGUCUUGUUUUAAAGGGGAAGAGCAAAACAAGGAACAAAAGUAGGCUCUCCACAAGGGAGCACAGCGUGUCUUCUGCCGUAGGUUGCAGCUGAACUCAAUGCAGUUACUCCAGACUUCUAGGUAUUUGAAAAUAUAACCCACAGAACACUAAGUCAUGAGGUACAUAACUGAAAAGUGCAUGUGACUUCAUUAAUACUUUACACAUGUUCAACAUGCCUGCUGAGGCAGGGUGGACAUAACUGAAUUACUGAAAACAAACUGCUGCUGUAGUAAGACAUUUUUGUUCCCUGACAAUGCUCUGUACAGAGGUUUAUAUCAAGCCUAUAACCAGUGAAUCUAGGCACUAAAAGCCUGGUCCAAAGCCUUAUUAAGCCAAAGAAGUCUUUCUAUUGAUUUCAGUGGCUUUUGGAUCAGGCUCUUGGAGAAUUCUGUAUGCAAUAUACAGAAAGAUUUGUAUUCUUGAGUGUUGAAGGAGGAGAUGGUGUUAAUGGAACACAAUCUCCUGUUGGAUCAUUAGGACACUGUCAUGGAAAAGUGAAUGCAAAGAGAUACUUCCUUCAGAAUAGAAAUGAAGUGAUGGCAUUUUUCUGGGUUGAAGGGAGCUUCUAAUCUGCAGAAGCCAAACUAGCAAAAUCUCUGUGGAAUGAAGUUAGGUGAAGACAAUGAUUAUUGUGUGUGCAGCGUUCUUGUCACUUCACACAGCAGUGGGAAAACAAGGGUCUUGCUCCAAAGGGCCUUUAUGAGAAUACUAAAAGAUUUCCCUGCUCAGGUCCUUCAGGGCAGGUAGAUAUAAUGAGUAAGUGGGCCAGGGUAUAAAAAUCAAGGCAACGUGUUUCCCACUUCUUUAUCCGUAUGUUGACUUUUUGGGCAAACGCCUGUAACGUUUGUAAGUCUGAAAUGCUUCGCAUGCUUGUUUGAGCUGAAACAAUAGCAAAAGGGCCCAUAAAUGCUUCCCCUAUCCCCCAUCCUAUUCAGCUAGACACAUAAAUCACCCAUGCUCCCCAAACAGCAGGAGGCAGAGCCAGCAAGUAGCUACUCUUAUCAAGGGGGGGGGGGGGCUCAAAGACCGGCCUUGCUCCCACCUCCAGCUAGGCCUAGAGAGACUGACAUACCACAUUUCCAGGUGGGAGCCGCUCAGGAGGCAGAUGUCUAGGCAGGCAUAACAGGCCUCUGCCCGAGUUAAUAGCUGGACAUACCAGCUCAUUGCCUUUGCUAUGGAGAUCUGUUCAGUACCACAGGGUACUGACUGGCCCUUAGAACAGGCCCCAAUGCCAGGAGACAGGGAGAUGAGGAGGGCACUGUCUAGACAAGUUGGUGGCAUAGAGUUGGAAUGGCACAGCGCUAAUCAAGAAUAUGCCUCUUUCAUCUGAAUCACUUUGCUUAUUUGUUGCUCUUUCUCCAAUCAACCACACGUAAAUUAGAGGUGUAAAUUCUUCAUUCAGAACAUUUGGGGGGGGGGGGGUAAAAAUUGGCCUUUAAAAACAAAGCCAGAAUGUUUUGUGGAAUUUUUGGAAAAGAAUUUUUCAGAUGUUGGGAUUUUAAAAAUGUUUGGUUU